CGGGAAAUUAAAGCAGCGAUCACUUGGACUAUUCCGCAGCACCCCUCUCACAGUGGUACAUCCCUCCAGGUAACCAUUGUCUUGUACAGUAGAGCGGGACAUUUGAUUUACUCUCAGCGGAAUUGACCGGAGAAGGCAUCAGUUCAUGCACUGCACUGGCUUGCACCACGAUUAGUAUAAGACCAAAUCCCCUGUACACAUAUACGGCCUCCGAGGAUGAGCAGCUCACAAAAAAACGGUUUCCCCAGGCCCCUCGAGUGAAAAUACCAGCCCUCACCACUCCGCAGUCUUCCCCCCAGCCCACUGAUAGCAACCAUCAUAAUGCCCCACCCAGCUUCCGGCACCUUUCGCCACUCCGGCACAACACACAAACCGACACAGCUUUGCGAUCUCCCCAGCAUGCAGAGUCUGAUGUCGAUGUCUUCCCUAUAGAUGAUCCCAGAGACUCUGUGAGGCCACUAUUACAAGGUGAGACGCUUUGUGUUGAUUGGUGCUGCUGGACCACACUGGAGGUGCGAGUCUGCCGUGUAAUGGCUUAUGCCAUCACAAACGAGCUGGCCUCUGUACUCAACUGGGCAGGGAAAAAAAACCCAAGGACC
ensembl:lncRNA